rnacentral:tRNA from 1 species
CCUCGUGUAGCUUAGAGGCUUAAAGCGCCCGCCUGUCGAGCGGGAGAUCGUCGGUUCGAAUCCGGUCACGAGGGCCA